rnacentral:rRNA from 1 species
CAGUAGCCGCGGGAAUACAGAGGGUGCGAGCGUUAAUCGGAUUUACUGGGCGUAAAGCGUGCGUAGGCGGCUUCUUAAGUCGGAUGUGAAAUCCCUGAGCUUAACUUAGGAAUUGCAUUCGAUACUGGGAAGCUAGAGUAUGGGAGAGGAUGGUAGAAUUCCAGGUGUAGCGGUGAAAUGCGUAGAGAUCUGGAGGAAUACCGAUGGCGAAGGCUGCCAUCUGGCCUAAUACUGACGCUGAGGUACGAAAGCAUGGGGAGCAAACAGGAUUAGAUACCCCUGUAGUCCCUGUCUCUUAUAC